rnacentral:rRNA from 1 species
UACGGAGGGUGUGAGCGUUGUCCGGAAUCAUUGGGCGUAAAGGGCGCGUAGGUGGCCCCUCAAGCGUGCGGUGAAAGUCAGGGGCUCAACCCCUGAUCGGCCGUGCGAACUGGGGAGCUUGAGCACUGUAGAGGCAGGCGGAAUUCCGGGUGUAGCGGUGGAAUGCGUAGAGAUCCGGAAGAACACCGGUGGCGAAGGCGGCCUGCUGGGCAGUUUUGCUGACACUGAGGCGCGACAGCGUGGGGAGCAAACAGG